UUUUAAAUUUGGAAAUAAUUUUCGUUUAUCAUCUUUUUCUUCCCACCAUCCUAAAAUCAAGCAUAAAUCAUGCAAAUCCGCUUCGGGUUCCAUUGAUAACCAAACUGCUAGAGUCUGAUAUGACUUUGAUAGUCUGAUUUACCAAGCCGACGAAGAUGGUGAGGAAGAUUGUGAACUCCCUGAAGAGUUGUCCAGGUUGUUGCGGCAAGAAUCAAAGGUCAUUCAACCCCAUCAAG
rnacentral:lncRNA from 1 species